rnacentral:rRNA from 1 species
UACGUAGGGGGCAAGCGUUGUCCGGAUUUAUUGGGCGUAAAGAGCGUGUAGGCGGCUAGGUAGGUCCGUUGUGAAAACUCGAGGCUCAACCUCGAGACGCCGGUGGAAACCAUCUAGCUAGAGUCCGGAAGAGGAGAGUGGAAUUCCUGGUGUAGCGGUGAAAUGCGCAGAUAUCAGGAAGAACACCCGUGGCUAAGGCGGCUCUCUAGUACGGUACUGACGCUGAGACGCGAAAGCGUGGGGAGCGAACAGG